CCUACGGGAGGCAGCAGUGGGGAAUCUUGCGCAAUGGGCGGAAGCCUGACGCAGCGACGCCGCGUGCGGGACGAAGGCCUUCGGGUCGUUAACCGCUUUCAGCAGGGACGAGGCCCUCACGGUGACGGUUCCUGCAGAAGAAGCCCCGGCUAACUACGUGCCAGCAGCCGCGGUAAUACGUAGGGGGCGAGCGUUAUCCGGAUUCAUUGGGCGUAAGGCGCGCGUAGGCGGCCUGUUAGGUCGGGGGUAAAAUACCGGGGCUCAACCCCGGUCCGCCCCCGAUACCGGCAGGCUUGAGUGUGGUAGGGGAAGGCGGAAUUCCCAGUGUAGCGGUGGAAUGCGGAGAUAUUGGGAAGAACACCGGCGGCGAAGGCGGCAUUCUGGGCCACGACUGACGCUGAGGCGCGAAGGCUAGGGGAGCGAACAGGAUUAGAUACCCUUGUAGUC
rnacentral:rRNA from 1 species